rnacentral:rRNA from 1 species
GGGAACUGGGGAUAAUCCCCCAUAGGUGUAGACUUCUGGAAUGGGUCUACGCCGAAAGGGCUACGGCACCAUCCCUGCCGUAGCCGCCCGAGGAUGGGGCUGCGGCCUAUCAGGUAGUUGGCGGGGUAACGGCCCGCCAAGCCUAUAACGGGUAGGGGCCGUGAGAGCGGGAGCCCCGAGAUGGGCACUGAGACAAGGGCCCAGGCCCUACGGGGUGCACCAGGGGCGAAACUUCCGCAAUGCGGGAAACCGUGACGGAGUCACCCCGAGUGCCACCCGAUGAGGGUGGCUUUUGCCCGGUCUAAAAAGCCGGGCGAAUAAGCGGGGGGCAAGCUUGGUGUCAGCCGCCGCGGUAAUACCAACCCCGCGAGUGGUCGGGACGUUUAUUGGGCCUAAAGCGUCCGUAGCCGGCCCGGUAAGUCCCUCCUUAAAGCCCACGGCUCAACCGUGGGAGCGGAGGGAUACUGCCGGGCUAGGGGGCGGGAGAGGCCGGGGGUACUCCUGGGGUAGGGGCGAAAUCCUAUAAUCCCAGGAGGACCACCAGUGGCGAAGGCGCCCGGCUAGCACGCGCCCGACGGUGAGGGACGAAAGCUGGGGGAGCAAAGGGGAUUAGAUACCCCCGUAGUCCCAGCUGUAAACGAUGCAGGCUAGGUGUUAGGCGGGCUUCGUGCCCGCCUAGUGCCGUAGGGAAGCCGUUAAGCCUGCCGCCUGGGGAGUACGGCCGCAAGGCUGAAACUUAAAGGAAUUGGCGGGGGAGCACCACAA